GACGUAGGGGGCGAGCGUUGUCCGGAAUCAUUGGGCGUAAAGCGCGUGUAGGCGGCCAGGUAAGUCCGUUCUGAAAGCCCGGGGCUCAACCCCGGGAGGCGGAUGGGAUACUGCUUGGCUCGAGUCCGGAAGAGGCGAGUGGAAUUCCCGGUGUAGCGGUGAAAUGCGCAGAUAUCGGGAGGAACACCAAUGGCGAAGGCAGCUCGCUGGGACGGUACUGACGCUGAGACGCGAAAGCGUGGGG
rnacentral:rRNA from 1 species